rnacentral:rRNA from 1 species
UACAGAGGGUGCAAGCGUUAAUCGGAAUUACUGGGCGUAAAGCGCGCGUAGGUGGUAUGUUAAGUUGAAUGUGAAAUCCCCGGGCUCAACCUGUGAACUGCAUCCAAAACUGGCAAGCUAGAGUAUGGUAGAGGUUGGUGGAAUUUCCUGUGUAGCGGUGAAAUGCGUAGAUAUAGGAAGGAACACCAGUGGCGAAGGCGACCUCCUGGACUGAUACUGACACUGAGGUGCGAAAGCGUGGGGAGCAAACAGG